rnacentral:misc_RNA from 1 species
UGCCUGUUCCGUAUUUUACCGCCAACUUACUCGUUGGUGAAAGAAGCACUUGUUUUCCUUUGCAGCAACGAUGGCCGAUCCAUCAACGUCUCAGGCAGAUCUGAAACCCAAGGCCAUCUCGUUGAGUGAUGUUGUGGUUGAUGUUUGCUUCAACCCAGUGAAAGAUGUUAUUGCAGCAGCUCACAUCGGAGGAGACGUCUCUCUGCAUUCCUAUGCAGUUGAAGGCGACAACCAAGAUCUCCUGCUGCUGGAGCACCACAAGAAGUCAUGUCGAUGCAUACAGUUCUCGUCUGAUGGCACCAUCUUGUACAGCGGUUCCAAAGACAAGUCAAUUGCAGCUGUGGAUAUGAAUACUGGUGCUGUCACCUGGCACAACAAAACGGCCCACGAGUCAGCAAUUUACAGCUUACUUCUGUUGGGUGACCAUUUUCUGGCUUCUGGAGAUGAUGACGGAACUGUUAAGGUUUGGGAUCUAAGGGCCAAAGAAGCAUCCAUGGAAUUAAAGUGCUGUGAAGAAUUCAUAAGUGGCAUGGCCAUUGACAACGACCACAAAAUUCUGUUGGCUGCUUCAGGUGAAGGAACUCUUACGGCUCUGAAUGUGCGUCGCAAACGGCUGGAACUUCAAUCUGAGCUUUUUGAUUCUGAACUGUUAUCAGUUGCCAUAAUUAAGAAUGGGCGUAAAGUUGUUUGUGGCACUGGAGAAGGAGUCUUGAAUCUUUUCAACUGGAGUGAGUUUGGAAAUCUCUGCGACCGAUUCCCAGGUCAUCCGAUGUCCAUUGAUUGUAUUUGUCCCGUUUCUGAAGACAUCAUUUGUACUGGUUCCCUGGAUGGAGCUGUCAGAGCUGUACAUAUUUUACCAAACCGAUUUCUUGGAGUGCUUGGCAGACAUGCUGACUUUCCAGUGGAGAACUUGAGUUUGUCUCGAGACAAAAAGUUCCUGGCUAGUUGUUCUCAUGACCAGACUGUUAAGUUUUGGAACCUCGACAUUUUGUCAGACGUUGAGGUGAACAUCCAGGAGAAAGCCAAGAAAUCGAGUCGUCUGAAUCCGUUGAACAAAGAAGACGACUUCUUUGCUGAUUUUGGGAAUGAGCUUUCCGUUAAUACUUCUGUUAAUCCUGACAGCGACAGCGAAUCCGAGAGUUUCACUGAUAUGAGUGACAUUGAGAAUGCUGGCGGCGAAAAUGAGCAGAGCGGAAAGAGAAGAGCCAGGGAGACGGAUGAAGAGUCUAUAGAAAUUUCAGACAGCGACGAAGAUGACAUUAGUGAUGAUGACGUUAUUAAUAUUGAUGAUGAUGAUGAUGAUGAUGACGAUGACGAUGAUGAUGCAGGUGGUGAUGACAAGAAUUCUGAGGCCAAGGAUAUGCAAGCUGAUGCUGAAAAGAAAACUUGUGAAAAGAGUGAAGAUAAGAAACCAGACACUUAAUAACGAAAAAGGCAAAAAAGUGUUUGUUGUUGUUUUGCUAAAGAGACAAGUGUAAAUGUUUGUGUGUGUGUGUGUGUGUGUG